GAUUAAAUCGUCACACAAUUGUAAAAUUGGCAGGAAAAAAUAGAUGUUUAAAAUUUAUAUAUUUUUUUCCUAUCAGAAAGAUUUAAACAAAGAAUUUUUAUCACGAUAUGAUAUCUAAUAAUUCUGAUUUCAAUUAUCGAACGGAUAUAAUCUGCGUUAAAAACCAGUAAUGGUUACAAAUGAAGACAGUAAAUACCGUUGAAACUUUCAUUACGAGUUAUAUCGUGGAAUUGCAUUACAAAUUAUAUUCGCGGAAAAAAAUUUGAUUUUUCGUUGGUUUCUCUGUGAAAUAGAAUGGAUUUAAAUAUAGAAUCACUUUAAUUUUCUUUUUUUUUUAAUAUCUUAGUCGUUGUUUGAUUUUUUAUUUAAACUUAACCUAAUUUAAUUAUUAAUUGUUUUUGUGAUACAAUGCUUUUUAUAAAUAUAAUUUUAUACUAUGUUUUAUAAUAUAUUCAUAAUUCGUAUUAAAAAUUUUAACAUAAUAAUAAAAUUUUUUAUUUCAAUAAAAAUUUUUUGUUGAUUAAAUAUAUAUGUUAAAUCUAUGUUAAUACGAAUAAAAUUAUAUCUUGAAUUAUGAAAGUAUACUAUUAAAGAAUCGGUACAAAUCUGAUUUGGGAUGAUACGUAUAAUGCUUUAGACUUUAUUUAAAUAAUUAAAUUAUCCGUCGAAAUUAUUUAACCUUUGUUUCUUUCACGAGACAAGAAUAUAUCGCAAGAAAAACUGGCGCUUUGAUCCGUUAUCGUGAUUUGUUCUAGAUCGAUAUUUUAAAACGAAAAGAUUUGUGAUUAUUUGAAUUUUCCUGUUCAUUGUGUGAAGAUAUUUCUACAGUGAUUUUUAUAGUUUUCAGCGGAGAAUUCAAUUGAAAAUGUGGAAAGAUGGAUGGAUAAAGAGGGUCAAGGAUCACCAAGCUCUUGCCAAGCUCGAAAAAAAGAUUGGACAAAUGAAGAUUUAUCUCCUUCACCGAGGAAUCAUUUUUUAUCUAUCGUCGGAAGAAAAUUUGAUUACGUAAGCAUAGAAAUUGAUGAAUGGCGAAGAAGAAUUGAACGAUCGAGCUACAGAUAUUUCGAUCAACGAACGACGUGAUACAAAUUCGCAUAAUGCAAUAAUGCAAAAAUCAAUAUAUAACGUAAUCAUGUUCGAAAAUGAAGAAGACGAAGAAAUCGAAGAUUUGUUGGAAAGUUUGGCUGCCUGUAUUGAUAUAGGGAUUCCAAUGGAAAAAUUUUUACGGGAGGAUACAUCAGGCACGCGCGCCCAAUUCUUCAAGCGGGCAGAAGAAAGUGGAACAAGGUUCGCGAUAAUCGUAUCGCCUAUGUUAAACACUGACGUGCUGCGCACGAAUGCAUCCAGAAGGAUGCGAUAACGCGUUGCACGAGUACACUCCAACAUAUGUAAUAUGAGGAAGAAAGAAGAUUGGAAAGAUGUGUAAAGAUAAAAUCGAUACGCUGUUUUUCAUGCUGAUCCUUCAUUUUUAUAGCAGAUGUAAUACCUUGAUUUUCGGAUGAUGAAUUAAUCGUUUAAACUGAGAGAUCGUGUUGUUUCGUAUUUUAAAAUUAAUUCAAAGAUAAAUUUUCUAAAACAUGUUUUGACGUCAGUUGUUAUGACGUUCAAAAAAAAAUACGCGUGUCUUAUAUAAAGGAAUAUCGAUUGACUUUGAAUAAUUUCAGAAGGGUGAAAUAAGAUUUUUAUAAUUAUAUUUCAUUUGUUCAAAGUUUGCGUAGCGUUAAUCUUCAAAUCAUCGUAAAUCAAAUGUUCCAAUUAAAGUUUUAACAGGCAAAAAUUUAAUUGAAAAUUAAUAUCUCGGUUUGGGAUGUUUAUAGGAGGUUAGAAUCUUGCUGUUCUGUCUUUAUUAGUACAAAUAAUAUAUUUGUACAGCCAUUGUUGGUUUGUUUUGCUAGAUACAUACACAUUGAUGAAUUUAUAUGAAUAAAAGUUAAAAAAAUAAAGGAUUCCUAUUAACUUUAGCCAUUGUUGAAGUCAAGUACUAAAAAACAACUAGACGACAAUAAAUUGUUAUUCAAACGAAACUUUGGAUGAUGAAAUGUUUCAAGCACUCGUAUCUUUUCUGUAGUUAAUACUCUUCAACAACUGACACACAGGUCUUUGUGCUCUAAGGAUCUCUCAACCUCGAAUACGUUCAAUUCUUCCAUGAAUCCAUUAAAAUAUUAAAAUUAAACAAUCUCUUUCUUCUAAAAAAUCAUAAGCUUUCUUGAUUAAUUGUUAUCAGAACCAUAAUUAAAAAUUUGUGAAUUAUUAUAAAAAUUGAAACUUUCAAAUGUGCUCUUCUAUUCCAAAUAUAUAAUUCUGCAUAAAGUUA